ACGAACGCUGGCGGCGUGCUUAACACAUGCAAGUCGCACGGAAAGGCCCUGCUUUUGUGGGGUGCUCGAGUGGCGAACGGGUGAGUAACACGUGAGUAACCUGCCCUUGACUUUGGGAUAACUUCAGGAAACUGGGGCUAAUACCGGAUAGGAGCUCCUGCUGCAUGGUGGGGGUUGGAAAGUUUCGGCGGUUGGGGAUGGACUCGCGGCUUAUCAACUUGUUGGUGGGGUAGUGGCUUACCAAGGCUUUGACGGGUAGCCGGCCUGAGAGGGUGACCGGCCACAUUGGGACUGAGAUACGGCCCAGACUCCUACGGGAGGCAGCAGUGGGGAAUAUUGCACAAUGGGCGGAAGCCUGAUGCAGCAACGCCGCGUGCGGGAUGACGGCCUUCGGGUUGUAAACCGCUUUCGCCUGUGACGAAGCGUGAGUGACGGUAAUGGGUAAAGAAGCACCGGCUAACUACGUG
rnacentral:rRNA from 1 species